rnacentral:rRNA from 1 species
UACGAAGGGGGCUAGCGUUGUUCGGAAUUACUGGGCGUAAAGCGCACGUAGGCGGAUAUUUAAGUCAGGGGUGAAAUCCCAGAGCUCAACUCUGGAACUGCCUUUGAUACUGGGUAUCUCGAGUAUGGAAGAGGUGAGUGGAAUUCCGAGUGUAGAGGUGAAAUUCGUAGAUAUUCGGAAGAACACCAGUGGCGAAGGCGGCUCACUGGACCGGUAUUGACGCUGAGGUGCGAAAGCGUGGGGAGCAAACAGG